rnacentral:rRNA from 1 species
UACAGAGGGUGCUAGCGUUGUUCGGAAUUAUUGGGCGUAAAGCGCGUGUAGGCGGCCUAGUAAGUUGGGUGUGAAAGCCCUCGGCUUAACCGAGGAAGUGCGCCCAAAACUGCAAGGCUUGAGUACCGGAGAGGGUGGCGGAAUUCCCGGUGUAGAGGUGAAAUUCGUAGAUAUCGGGAGGAACACCAGUAGCGAAGGCGGCCACCUGGACGGAUACUGACGCUGAGACGCGAAAGCGUGGGUAGCAAACAGG